rnacentral:rRNA from 1 species
CAGUCGCCACGGGAAUACAGAGGGUGCGAGCGUUAAUCGGAUUUACUGGGCGUAAAGCGUGCGUAGGCGGCUUCUUAAGUCGGAUGUGAAAUCCCUGAGCUUAACUUAGGAAUUGCAUUCGAUACUGGGAAGCUAGAGUAUGGGAGAGGAUGGUAGAAUUCCAGGUGUAGCGGUGAAAUGCGUAGAGAUCUGGAGGAAUACCGAUGGCGAAGGCAGCCAUCUGGCCUAAUACUGACGCUCAGGUGCGAAAGCGUGGGGAGCAAACAGGAUUAGAUACCCGGGUAGUCCCUGUCUCUUAUAC